CAUAUCAAUAAGCGGAGGAAAAGAAAAUAACAAUGAUUUCCCUAGUAACGGCGAGUGAAGAGGAAAGAGCUCAAAGUUGGAACCUGUUUGGCCUAGCUAAACAGGAUUGUAAACUGUAGAAGUGUUUUCCAGGCAAUCCGAGUUAAUAAGUCCUUUGGAACAGGGCAUCAUAGAGGGUGAGAAUCCCGUCUUUGAUUCGAGAUAUUUUGUCUUUUGCGAUACACUUUCAAAGAGUCAGGUUGUUUGGGAAUGCAGCCUAAAUUGGGUGGUAAAUCUCACCUAAAGCUAAAUAUUGGCGAGAAACCGAUAGCGAACAAGUACCGUGAGGGAAAGAUGAAAAGAACUUUGAAAAGAGAGUUAAACAGUAUGUGAAAUUGUUAAAAGGGAACCGUUUGGAGCCAGACUGGCUCGUCUGUAAUCAAUCUAGGUUUCGUGCCUGGAUGCACUUGCAGACUAUUUGCCUGCCAACGACAAUUUUUUUUGAGUGUAAAAACUAUUGGAAAUGUGGCCAAUAUUUAUUUAUUGGUGUUAUAGUCCUUUAGAAAAUACCUUGAAUUGGAUUGAGGAACGCAGCGAAUGCUUCUCUUUUGAGGCAAAGUCUUUUAUUGGGAUUUACGGAUCAGACUGUGGCAUUGUCACAAGACUUGAAGUUUAAACCUAUUUUUGAACUUUUAUUCGCUUAGGUUGUUGGCUUAAUGACUCUAAAUGACCCGUCUUGAAACACGGACC
rnacentral:rRNA from 1 species